AUACGUAGGGUGCGAGCGUUGUCCGGAAUUAUUGGGCGUAAAGGGUUCGCAGGCGGUCUGAUAAGUCAGAUGUGAAAGGCAAUGGCUCAACCAUUGUAAGCAUUUGAAACUGUCAGACUUGAGUUAAGGAGAGGAAAGUGGAAUUCCUAGUGUAGUGGUGAAAUGCGUAGAUAUUAGGAGGAAUACCAGUGGCGAAGGCGACUUUCUGGACUUAUACUGACGCUGAGGAACGAAAGCGUGGGGAGAAAACAGGAUUAGAUCCCCUGGUAGUCCACGCCGUAAACGAUGAGUGCUAGGUGUUGGGGGUCAAACCUCGGUGCCGCAGCUAACGCAUUAAGCACUCCGCCUGGGGAGUACGUACGCAAGUAUGAAACUCAAAUGAAUUGGCGGGG
rnacentral:rRNA from 1 species